UACGGGGGGGGCAAGCGUUGUUCGGAAUUACUGGGCGUAAAGGGCUCGUAGGCGGCCAACUAAGUCGGAUGUGAAAUCCCCAGGCUCAACCUGGGAACUGCAUCCGAUACUGGAUGGCUUGAAUUCGGGAGAGGGAUGCAGAAUUCCAGGUGUAGCGGUGAAAUGCGUAGAUAUCUGGAGGAAUACCGGUGGCGAAGGCGGGUCUCUGGACAGUUCCUGACGCUGAGGCACGAAGGUCAGGGGAGCAAACGGG
rnacentral:rRNA from 1 species